rnacentral:rRNA from 1 species
UUAAUUGAAGAGUUUGAUCAUGGCUCAGAUUGAACGCUGGCGGCAGGCCUAACACAUGCAAGUCGAGCGGCAGCACAGAGGAACUUGUUCCUUGGGUGGCGAGCGGCGGACGGGUGAGUAAUGCCUGGGAAAUUGCCCGGUAGAGGGGGAUAACCAUUGGAAACGAUGGCU